rnacentral:tRNA from 1 species
UAUAUUUUGGUGUAUGAUGCACAAAUGAUUUUGUUACUUUUAGAAAUAGUUUAAUUCUAUUAAAUAUAA